AGAACGAACGCUGGCGGCAUGCCUAGCACAUGCAAGUCGAACGCUCUUGGUUUCGGCCAAGGGAGUGGCGCACGGGUGAGUAACGCGUGGGAACCUGCCCUGGAGUGGGGGAUAACCGAGGGAAACCUCGGCUAAUACCGCAUACGACCUGAGGGUGAAAGAUUUAUCGCUCUAGGAGGGGCCCGCGUCGGAUUAGCUAGUUGGUGAGGUAACGGCCCACCAAGGCUAUGAUCCGUAGCUGGUCUGAGAGGAUGAUCAGCCACACUGGGACUGAGACACGGCCCAGACUCCUACGGGAGGCAGCAGUGGGAAUAUUGGACAAUGGGCGCAAGCCUGAUCCAGCCAUGCCGCGUGAGUGAUGAAGGCCCUAGGGUUGUAAAGCUUCUUUUGUGCGGGAAGAUAAGUGGACGGUACCGCAAGAAUAACGCCCCGGCUAACUUCGUGCCAGCAGCCGC
rnacentral:rRNA from 1 species